rnacentral:piRNA from 1 species
GCUUCCAGUGUAGUGUUUUCCAGG